UGCCCUAGCCCUACUAUUCGGUUUCCUCCUCUCCACGCUCAAAUCAAAUUCAAAGUUCAAACAGGAAUCCCUGUAAAUCAGCAAUAAAUCAUCCGACAAAAUCAAUUUAUUACUUUCUUUUUUAUCUCCCCGAUUCUCUCUAUAAUAGAGACUACUGAGAACGAGAGUCAAUCAGUUUUGCUCAUGCAAUUGUACAUGGAAAAAUCUCUCUUUCAACAAAACUCUACAUCGGUCAUCUUCACCACCACCAUCUCCCCUCCAUCAUUCUUUCAGUUGGGUUUCUUAUUUUAACACUCUCGCUCAAGAAUUCUCCUUCAGAAUGAGAUUCCAAGAAUUUAGUAAAGAUUUUGAGCAACAUAUGAGCAGGCUUGAUACUUUUAGAGUAGUUAGGUGCUAAAUAGGUCUCAAAUCGGAUUUCUCACUGAAGCGUCGCCACUAUGCUCUUAUAUAUGCACGAAAAGGAACUGUCGGUGAUGAACCAAGAUUUAAUAGGAGAAGAAGUAGUAUCAUCAAGCAGAGGAGCCAUAUGAAUGAAGACCCAUUCCUGUUCCCCUGCAUUUUAGAAUAAAGAUUAUCUCCAAUUCUUCACUGUACAUUUGCUUCACUCUUUAUAAGUGUAUGUAAAAUAUAUAAAAUAUCAAGCACAAAGCUUGGUCUGGUCUUGAUUGGGGAGAUUAUUCAUUUUUCUAUUGUGCUAGCUUCAUCAAGGUAAAGUAGGGCAAGCAAAUGAUGUUGGUAAAGUAGUAGAUGAAAAUUGUUUACCUAUGGGAAAUGAUGCUAGAUUUAAUACAUAUACCGGUUCAAACUAUUCAAUUGAUAUGUUUUUAUAGAAGUACCCAAUCAAAAACAAGAUGGGGUUGAUGUGGGUUUAAUUUUCCUAGGCAAUACUUCCAGAAGUACAACUGGAAUUUAUCAAUUUUAAGUGAAUGUAAAAUGCUAUAACAAACAAAUAAGUGAAAGUAGAAUGUUAUUUCUGGGAUAU